rnacentral:rRNA from 1 species
UGAGGAAUAUUGGUCAAUGGACGCAAGUCUGAACCAGCCAAGUAGCGUGCAGGAUGACGGCCCUAUGGGUUGUAAACUGCUUUUAUAUGGGGAUAAAGUGGGGAACGUGUUCCCUUUUGCAGGUACCAUAUGAAUAAGGACCGGCUAAUUCCGUGCCAGCAUCCGCGGUAAUACGGAAGGUUCGGGCGUUAUCCGGCUUUAUUGGGUUUAAAGGGAGCGUAGGCCGUUUGGUAAGCGUGUUGUGAAAUGUAGGAGCUCAACUUCUAGAUUUCAACGCGAACUGUCAGACUUGAGUGCACACAACGUAGGCGGAAUUCAUGGUGUAGCAGUGAAAUGCUUAGAUAUCAUGAAGAAAUCCGAUUGCGAAGGCAGCUUACGGGAGCGAAACUGACGCUGAAGAUCGAAGGUGCGGGUAUCGAACAGG